rnacentral:rRNA from 1 species
UACGAAGGUGGCAAGCGUUACUCGGAAUUACUAGGCGUAAAGGGCAGGUAGGUGGUUUGGUUAGUCUGUUGUGAAAGCUCCUUGCUUAACGGGGAGAGGUCAACAGAUACUGCCAGACUUGAGUAUAGGAGAGGGUACUGGAAUUCCCGGUGUAGCGGUGAAAUGCGCAGAGAUCGGGAGGAACACCAAUGGCGAAAGCAGGUACCUGGACUAUUACUGACACUCAGCUGCGAAAGCUAGGGAGCAAACAGG